CCUUUGGCCAGUGCAGGUCAGCUGUCCUGUCCAUGCUUACUCCUGGUUUCUGGUGCACCUGCUCCCUGCCAGAGCAGGGGAACUCAAAAGUGCUUAAUUGAGAGCAAGAACUGCUUAGCAACAACUGAACGUUAGUGUGUUAUCAGCAUUAUUCUCAUCCUAAAUCCAAGGCACCGCACUGCCAGCUACAAAGAAGAAAAUGUAACUCUAUCCCAGUUGAUACCAGAUCAGAUCUCCAGAGCUGGGUGCAGUACACCCAGGUGGGUGUCUCAAGAGAGUGGAGUAGAGGGGCAGAAUCACCUCCCUUGACCCGCUGGCCGUGUUCCCCUUGAUGCAGCCCCAGGAUAUGAUUGGCUCUCAGGUCUAAGAAAGAUGCAUAUCAGAUUUGUGCUUCACAUGUGCAAAUAUUUGGUGAAGCAAUACCUUACUAAUUCACCUUUCAUUAGUGAGAAGCUCUAAUUUAAGCAUUCUGACUGAACUUUUUGAGAGGAGUAUAUUUUGGUCUCUUACCUAUUACCUGGUCUGCUCAAUUAGGUGGUGUUUCUAUAUUAUAUGUUGGAUGUGACUGGUAAAAGUAUGAACUUGUUUUUAACUUGGUGAAUUGGAAGACUUGGGAGGCUUUCCAACAAUCUCAGCAGGAGCCAAUUUCUCCCAAAACACAUUGGGCUUUUUCCGGCCCCUCUGUUGUUCCAUCCUGUUCUAUGCACAUGAACUGGGGCGGGGGGGGGGAGGGAGGGGUGACUGUGACAUCCUUUGGUUCCACGGUUGUCAGGGCCAGUCUGCAGUUGCUGCACCUUGGGGAGCUGCUCAUGCUCAUGCUGGAGGACACAGCAAAAGAAUAAUGCUGCGCUUUGGCACCUGUCGAGCCUGGAUCUUCAUGGUCCUGUUUUGUAGCAUCCAUUCACUUCUUGCAGCACCAAUUCAUCCUGGUUCAGAACAGAGUGCAGAGGCACCCAGCAAACCUAACAUGACAAUGAAAGGUGUAUUUGAAUCUUUCUUAAGCUUCUUCAGACCAAUGACUUGCCGCCUCAGCAGUGAGCAACUCUUAACAACUCCUUGUACUGUAGAAGGCCUGAACAUGUCUGAAUGCUCAAAAAUUCACUGCUGUCCUUUCAAAAUUGGCCAUGAAGAGCAGUGCUACAUGCCAGUGAGAGACGAUGUGCAGCUGGCCAUUCGAGUGAUUUUGCUUACUGGAGGAGGAUUUUUGACUUUGGGAUUUCUACCAAUCUGUUGCUGUGCCUUUUUGCAGAGAACGUAAGUGUUAGAGCAUGACCAGACCAAAUUUAGGAAGUACCGUUCCUAAAUGGUGAAAAUAUGGAGAACUGACAUCUUUUAACUAGGUGAGGGGAGAAAAGAUUGGGGGGGAAAAGCGCAAGAAACUAAUGUUCAAGCAUAAAAGAGUCCUCCUAUUUUGAAGCUACAUAAAAGUAGUGUCAAUUUGGCUUAAAGAAAAAAAGGUUAUUUAUUGCCCCAGUACUCUUUCUAAAGACCUGGAUGUAAAAGACUUGGACUUAAUGUUACUUCUCUUGUUUGGGAAGUUGCACGUAAAACACGAAAGCAGAGUUCCUGCAGGACAGACCUGGAUUUACACAGUAAGAUAAGGAAGGGAAGAACAAAGUAUGAGGCCUGAAUAGAGUAAGAGAGAUGGGCUGCAAGUUGGGAAUUAAUUAUCUAAUGUUUUUAACAUACAGCAUGGAGUUUUUAAUGUAUAGGGCACUUUACAGUCUGCAAGUUCUAUGCAAGCAGUUUAGUGUCUGAUACUAAGAGUUUCAGCAUGUGUAUGUGUUCUCAGGAUACAGGGAAAAUGUAAAC
rnacentral:lncRNA from 12 species